CCUACGGGUGGCAGCAGUGAGGAAUAUUGGUCAAUGGACGAGAGUCUGAACCAGCCAAGUAGCGUGAAGGAUGACUGCCCUAUGGGUUGUAAACUUCUUUUAUAUGGGAAUAAAAUGUUCCACGUGUGGGAUUUUGUAUGUACCAUAUGAAUAAGGAACGGCUAACUCCGUGCCAGCAGCCGCGGUAAUACGGAGGAUCCGAGCGUUAUCCGGAUUUAUUGGGUUUAAAGGGAGCGUAGGUGGAUUGUUAAGUCAGUUGUGAAAGUUUGCGGCUCAACCGUAAAAUUGCAGUUGAAACUGGCAGUCUUGAGUACAGUAGAGGUGGGCGGAAUUCGUGGUGUAGCGGUGAAAUGCUUAGAUAUCACGAAGAACUCCGAUUGCGAAGGCAGUUCACUGGACUGCAACUGACACUGAGGCUCGAAAGUGUGGGUAUCAAACAGGAUUAGAUACCCGUGUAGUC
rnacentral:rRNA from 1 species